GUUCCUAUAGUUGAAUACAACGGUGGUUUUUCAAGCCGCUAGUCCUGGUUAAAAUCCUGGUGGGAACU
rnacentral:tRNA from 1 species